GGGCUCACACAAGCGGUGGAGGAUGUGGCUUAAUUCGAGGCUACGCGAAGAACCUUAUCCUAGAUUUGACAUGCUUGAGAGUCUCUAUGAAAGUAGAGAGUGCCCUUCGGGGAGCUCUUGCACAGGUGCUGCAUGGCUGUCGUCAGCUCGUGUCGUGAGAUGUCGGGUUAAGUCCCUUAACGAGCGAAACCCUUAUCUCUAGUUGCCAGCGGGUAAUGCCGGGGACUCUAGAGAGACUGCCGGUGUCAAACCGGAGGAAGGUGGGGAUGACGUCAAGUCCUCAUGGCCUUUAUGUCUAGGGCUGCACACGUCCUACAAUGGUACGGACAAACGGACGCAAUACCGCGAGGUGGAGCAAAUCCUAGAAACCGUACCUCAGUUCGGAUUGCAGGCUGCAACUCGCCUGCAUGAAGCCGGAAUCGCUAGUAA
rnacentral:rRNA from 1 species